CGACCCUCAGGCUCCGGCCUGGUGUUGGGGCACCCCCGCGGCGCACGCCGCGCGGGCCCCGAAAGCCAUCGGCGGUGCCUGCCAGCACUCCGGGCGCAGUAGUCACAUCUCGCCCAGGACGUCUGGCGGCGCUCCGGCCGCUAAAAACGCCGCGCCCCAGGGCGCGACACACCAAAA
rnacentral:misc_RNA from 1 species